rnacentral:rRNA from 1 species
UACAGGGGGUGCAAACGUUGCUCGGAAUCAUUGGGCGUAAAGCGCACGUAGGCGGUUCGUUAUGUCGGAUGUGAAAGCCCUUGGCUUAACCGAGGAAGUGCAUCCGAAACUGGCGAGCUAGAGUACGAAAAGAGGAUCGCGGAAUUCCCGGUGUAGAGGUGAAAUGCGUAGAUAUCGGGAGGAACACCUGUGGCGAAAGCGGCUCACUGGACCAUUACUGACGCUGAUGCUCGAAAGCUAAGGGGAGCAAACAGGGAUUAAGAAACCCUUGU